rnacentral:misc_RNA from 1 species
ACAAGGACAUUACUGAUAUUAAUAAUGCACGAUUCCAGAAGUUUUGUGCAACGUACAAAUCUAAGAGUACAGAUGAACCUUUUCAAAAAGACUUACUCAGAUAUGACGCGUCUAAUUUACCACCGUGUAAAGCAGAAUUACACCAACAUCUCUUAAGAACUCAAUAUAUUACAAGUAUUUGGCGAAACGCUCAUCUAUGUACUCCAACAUUUUUGUUGCCUGAAAGACACGGUUGGACUAUAAAAGACAACAGAUAUGAGUUUAAAUGGUUUGAGGGUGAUUGUAUGCCACGAACUGUUCUAGAUGCAAUUAAGACUGGUUCAACUAGCGAGCAAAAUUCUGACAACGAAGAUAAUGAGCAAACUUUUUAUGACCAAGACAUGUAUUCAAGUGAUGAUUCUACAGAAGAAGAAUCAGAGGACAGUGGUGACGAAGACUAAAAUUAAAGAUACCUUUUAAAAUAUUUGUAUAAUACUGGUUAAAAAUAUUUUUUAUAAUAAUAAACCUGUAGAAUUAAUAACUGUACAAUUUCUUUUUUUGUUGAUUUAAUA